rnacentral:rRNA from 1 species
GACGAACGCUGGCGGCGUGCUUAACACAUGCAAGUCGAACGGAAAGGCCCUGCUUUUGUGGGGUGCUCGAGUGGCGAACGGGUGAGUAACACGUGAGUAACCUGCCCUUGACUUUGGGAUAACUUCAGGAAACUGGGGCUAAUACCGGAUAGGAGCUCCUGCUGCAUGGUGGGGGUUGGAAAGUUUCGGCGGUUGGGGGUGGACUCGCGGCUUCUCCGCCUGUUGGUGGGGUAGUGGCGUACCAAGGCUUUGACGGGUAGCCGGCCUGAGCGGGGGACCGGAGACAUGGGGGCUGAGGGACGGCGCAGGCGGGGACGGGAGGCAGGAGGGGGGAGGGGUGCAGAGUGGGGGGAAGCGUGAGGGAGGAGCGCGGGGUGCGGGAGGACGGCCUGGGGGGUGGAAGCGGCUGUGGCGUGUGAGGAAGCGGGAGUGACGGUAAUGGGUAAAGAAGCACCGGCUAACUACGUG